UAUCUAGAUUAAUACCUAUGGAUACUUGGGACGUUACUCCGCAGACUAAGCACCGGCUAACUCUGUGCCAGCAGCCGCGGUGAUACAGAGGGUGCGAGCGUUAAUCGGAUUUACUGGGCGUAAAGCGUGCGUAGGCGGCUUAUUAAGUCGGAUGUGAAAUCCCCGAGCUUAACUUGGGAAUUGCAUUCGAUACUGGUGAGCUAGAGUAUGGGAGAGGAUGGUAGAAUUCCAGGUGUAGCGGUGAAAUGCGUAGAGAUCUGGAGGAAUACCGAUGGCGAAGGCAGCCAUCUGGCCUAAUACUGACGCUGAGGUACGAAAGCAUGGGGAGCAAACAGGAUUAGAUACCCUGGUAGUCCAUGCCGUAAACAAUGUCUACUAGCCGUUGGGGCCUUUGAGGCUUUAGUGGCGCAGCUAACGCGAUAAGUAGACCGCCUGGGGAGUACGGUCGCAAGACUAAAACUCAAAUGAAUUGACGGGGGCCCGCACAAGCGGUGGAGCAUGUGGUUUAAUUCGAUGCAACGCGAAGAACCUUACCUGGUCUUGACAUACUAGAAACUUUCCAGAGAUGGAUUGGUGCCUUCGGGAAUCUA
rnacentral:rRNA from 1 species